GGGCCCAUAGCUCAGCCGGUUAGAGCGGCCGGCCCAUAACCGGAUGGUCCCAGGUUCGAAUCCUGGUGGGCCCA
rnacentral:tRNA from 1 species